AAAAUUUAAAAUAAAAAUACUAAAAUAGUAGGUAGAUAAAUUAUUGAAACUUAAAUAAUUUGGCGGUAUUUUAGUUCAUUUAGAGGAAUCUGUUUAAUAAUUGAUAUUCCACGAAUUAAUUUACUUAAUUUAUAAUUUUGUAUAUCGUUGUUGGAAAAAUAUUUUUUAAUAAUAUUAAUAUUUUAAAAUUAAUAAUAAAAUUAAAAUCAGAUCAAGAUGCAGACUAUAAUUAAGAAUAUAAUGGAUUACAAUAAAUUUAUUUAAAUGAAUUUUAAUUUGUAAGAGUUAACUGAAGGUGGAUUUAAAUGUAAUUUUAUUUAAUUUAAUAAAAUGAUUAAAAAUUAAAAUAUGU
rnacentral:rRNA from 2 species